CCUACGGGUGGCAGCAGUGGGGAAUAUUGCACAAUGGGCGCAAGCCUGAUGCAGCCAUGCCGCGUGUGUGAAGAAGGCCUUCGGGUUGUAAAGCACUUUCAGCGGGGAGGAAGGCGGUGAGGUUAAUGACCUCAUCGAUUGACGUUACCCGCAGAAGAAGCACCGGCUAACUCCGUGCCAGCAGCCGCGGUAAUACGGAGGGUGCAAGCGUUAAUCGGAAUUACUGGGCGUAAAGCGCACGCAGGCGGUCUGUCAAGUCGGAUGUGAAAGCCCCGGGCUCAACCUGGGAACUGCAUUCGAAACUGGCAGGCUAGAGUCUUGUAGAGGGGGGUAGAAUUCCAGGUGUAGCGGUGAAAUGCGUAGAGAUCUGGAGGAAUACCGGUGGCGAAGGCGGCCCCCUGGACAAAGACUGACGCUCAGGUGCGAAAGCGUGGGGAGCAAACAGGAUUAGAUACCCUAGUAGUC
rnacentral:rRNA from 1 species